UCGGGAAUCGAACCAUGGACGCCCGCGUGGCAGGCGAGCAUUCUACCACUGAACCA
rnacentral:tRNA from 1 species